UAGAGUUUGAUCAUGGCUCAGAACGAACGCUGGCGGCAGGCCUAACACAUGCAAGUCGAGCGAGAUCUUCGGAUCUAGCGGCGGACGGGUGAGUAACGCGUGGGAACGUACCCUUUGCUACGGAAUAGCCUCGGGAAACUGGGAGUAAUACCGUAUGUGCCCUUCGGAGGAAAGAUUUAUCGGCAAAGGAUCGGCCCGCGUUGGAUUAGGUAGUUGGUGGGGUAAUGGCCUACCAAGCCGACGAUCCAUAGCUGGUUUGAGAGGAUGAUCAGCCACACUGGGACUGAGACACGGCCCAGACUCCUACGGGAGGCAGCAGUGGGGA
rnacentral:rRNA from 1 species